rnacentral:rRNA from 1 species
CCUACGGGAGACUGCAGUGGGGAAUAUUGCACAAUGGGGGAAACCCUGAUGCAGCGAUGCCGCGUGAGUGAUGAAGUAUUUCGGUAUGUAAAGCUCUAUCAGCAGGGACGAAAAUGACGGUACCUGAGUAAGAAGACCCGGCUAACUACGUGCCAGAAGCCGCGGUAAUAAGUAGGGGGCAAGCGUUAUCCGGAUGUAGUGGGUGUAAAGGGAGUGUGGAGGGCGGUGCAAGCGGGAUGUGAAAGCCCGGGGCUCAACCCCGGGACUGCAUUUAGAACUGUGUUGCUAGAGUGUCGGAGAGGCAAGCGGAAUUCCUAGUGUAGCGGUGAAAUGCGUAGAUAUUAGGAGGAACACCAGUGGCGAAGGCGGCCUGCUGGACCAUGACUGACGUUGAGGCUCGAAAGCGUGGGGAGCAAACAGGAUUAGAUACCCUUGUAGUC